AUUCAGUCCCAGACAUAAAAUAUCUACCGGUACUCACAUUUCAAAGAUUCCUUGCUGAGUCCGACCACUGGGUGCCUCACCGCCCGGAAAUGGAUCCUUCCGCUGAAGAUCCGUGAAGGCAGACUGACGGCGCUGCGAAAUGUCGUCAUCGCAUUGCGUGAUGCCGCGGCCCGCAACGCUCCUCCUACGGUAGAAGAAGGAAGUCUCGCCGCAAAGGUGCAAUGCCUAGGUCUUAUUUUCGGCGUAGGGCUUAUAUUGCAGCCCACCCCGAUAAUCCGACUAGGGCUUAUUUUCGGGGUACGGUUUAUUUUCGGGGAAACACGGUAUUUACUAACAAUGAGAUGAGUGUGGCUGGGCACAGUAGGUACCAUAUACUACAGCAGUGUACAUUACCCAAUGACUAGUAACCACCGCAUUUAGAAUCUGGUGUUUUAUUCGUAUUAAAAUUACAAAUAUUUUAGUUUUGGUCUUGUGAUUAAUUUUUUUUUUUCC